AUGUGCGGUGCUGGUGGUGGAGCAAAGGUGCCAGGGUUGCUUGCAUCUGUCUGCGAGAACAGAGAGGAUGGUGUACCGAUUGCAAGGCAAAGGAAGGUGGGAUCAACACCGAUAAGAUCACGCAGCGAUCUACUCUGGGGAGUGGUGCUUGUUGUGGCUGAUGCAAACAGCCCCGCAAAUGUGCUAGUCGUCGUUGCUGGCGCAAUGGAAUUGGAUGCACUGCUGACUGUGCCACAACUGGUGCUGCUGCCAUCUGUACCAAUGGCAUCCGAGGGCGAGGGGAGGAAACAAGGAGGCAUCGGGGUAUCAUUAUCUGGCAAGUUGGAGUCUUCUAGUUCAGCGACAUUGUACUUAUCAGCUUCCUGGAAGCAAACAUCUUCAUCUCGCUUAUCUUCCUCCUCUUGCUUGAUAUCCACAAUUGGCUCCACAACCACCACUGGCUCUGUAACCAUCCAAAUUUCGCACAACUGCCACCAUUGGCUGCUGCUCCUGUGGCGUUGGAGAUGGCGGCGUUGGAGAUGGCGGCGACGGAAUCCGCUGCGGCUGUGGCUCCUCCAUUGCUGCCUCAACGUGCUGUGGCUCAUCCACCUCGGCCACGGCAGAAGUCUCAUUUUCAUCUUCUCCCCCCUUGCCCCCCUCAUCCUCCUUUUCCUUGUGCUUAUCCACAUUCUCCUCUUCUUUCUCCUUGUCCUUGUCCACAUUCUCCUCAACCUCCUCCAAAUCAGGUGGCCGAGGCGAAGGCGGCGCCGGAACAGCGAGCACUCUGCCGGUCUCCUCGACGAGAGCGCCACAGAAAGCGCGAUGUGUCACGAAACUGUCUCUCCUGAAUCAAGCCAGCACGCCGACUGA
rnacentral:rRNA from 1 species